rnacentral:rRNA from 1 species
UACGUAGGUGGCAAGCGUUGUCCGGAAUUACUGGGCGUAAAGCGCACGUAGGCGGCUUGGUAAGUUAGAGGUGAAAGCCUGGAGCUCAACUCCAGAAUUGCCUUUAAGACUGCCGAGCUAGCAGGUGAGAGAGGUGAGUGGAAUUCCGAGUGUAGAGGUGAAAUUCGUAGAUAUUCGGAAGAACACCAGUGGCGAAGGCGGCUCACUGGCUCAUACUGGACGCUGAGGUGCGAAAGCGUGGGGAGCAAACAGG